AAUGCUGUAUUUCUAGGAGUGGAUAUAGACUUGUAGCAGUUGCAGAAAGCUGCAGAGAACGUGAAAGCAUCUGGAAUGGAAGGAAGGGUGCAGCUACUUCAGUCUUCUGCCGUGGGUUUGGACAAACUCUCUCCUGUUUCAUCAUCUCUGACCCCGUUUAGCCAACUUAAAAUUUGUCAAGGGUGAUCUGUAUCAAGGGCGUAGUUUUGGUUUGAACAUUGGACAGUUGGUGGAGUAGAAGUGUGAACUGCUUUAGUGGAGACAAGGGUCAUGCACCCUCAUAAGUUCAUCAUGCUCUUUAUGAUUUCAUCUAUGCCAUCUCUGAAUAUCUGAAGGCCAGGUUUUUCCAUCACUCAUCAUUACAACCCAUUUUACACCUGGCUCUCAAUUCUGACUUGUACUUGCUCUUACGAAAAUGUGCCAUAGUUCUUAACUGUAGCAUUUUUAUAAUAAGGCUAGCCUGUUAAUCACUACCAGGCCGAUAAUUACUUUUUUUUUUUUUAAUUAAACUAUAUAGACUUUGUUAUGAAAAACAACAGCAUGCACAUUUAGAAACAAUAGCUGCCUACAACAUGCCACAGUUGUAAUAUAUAAAUCUAUAGGGAAAAAUCUAUUCCCUUAACAGAUUAUCUAUUAUAAUUUCAACAACAAGUUAGACAUCAUUUACCACAAUAAAUAAGCCUACAAUAAAUUAUACUUGCUAAUUUUGGUUAUUGGUGGUUACCUCCCCAAUGAAAACAUUUUGUGAUCAUAUUCAUUAAUAUACUUUUUUUCUGUUCCUCAGAGAUCCCUCUUGCAGAAGGAGCGGUUGAUGCUGUGCUGUGUGAUGGUCCUUUUGGCAGGAAAUUCAACUGCAGCUCUGCCCUGCCAUGCUUACUGAGAGAGAUGGAGAGGGUACUUCGUGUUGUUGGACAUCUUGUUCUGUUACUGAGGUUGCAGCUUUCUGCACAGCUUAAGAAGACAAUUUGCACACGUGAACACAACCAAAAUUUUAAUUCCUUAGACACAAUUAAUGUUCACACGGACCCCUCAAACACACAUAAUGAAAGCACAGACGCACAAAUAAUAAAUCUUUAAUCAAGCUCUGAAACUUCAAAUACACCAGUAUUAAUCAGCUCAGGACACACAGGGUUAGUCUGGACAGCACAGACGCGUUUAUACACAUAUACACCAAAAUACAAACUCAAACACACUCACACUGAAAUAAGCUCACCCUGAUGUGCUUACGUGGACAACAAAUUUACAACAAAUGAGCAAGAUGCUAAUAAAAUCUAUUUAAAAGAGCCUUAUAUUGUUUUU
ensembl:lncRNA